CCCCCCCCAACUCUCCACUGCCGUCACAUCUAAGUCAGAGUCACCCAAAGAGCCCGAACAGCUGCGGAAGCUCUUCAUCGGAGGUUUGAGCUUUGAAACAACCGAUGAAAGUCUGAGGAGCCAUUUUGAGCAGUGGGGAACGCUCACAGAUUGUGUGGUAAUGAGGGAUCCAAACACCAAACGCUCCAGAGGCUUCAGGUUUGUCACAUAUGCCACUGUGGAGGAGGUAGAUGUGGCCAUGAAUGCAAGGCCACACAAGGUGGAUGGAAGAGUUGUGGAACCAAAGAGGGCCGUCUCAAGAGAAGAUUCUCAAAGACCUGGUGCCCACUUAACUGUGAAAAAGAUUUUUGUUGGUGGCAUUAAAGAAGACACUGAAGAACAUCAUCUAAGAGAUUAUUUUGAACAGUAUGGGAAAAUUGAAGUGAUUGAAAUCAUGACUGAUUGAGGCAGUGGCAGAAGAGCAGCUUUGCUUUCGUAACCUUUGAUGACCGUGACUCCGUAGACAAGACCGUCAUUCAGAAAUACCACACUGUGAAUGGCCACAACUGUGAAGUAAGGAAAGCCCUAUCUCAGCAAGAGAUGGCUAGUGCCUCAUCCAGCCAAAGAGGUCGAAGUGGUUCUGGAAGCUUUGGUGGUGGUCAUGGAGGUGGUUUUGGUGGGAAUGACAACUUUGGUCAUGGAGGAAACUUCAGUGGUCAAGGUGGCUUUGGUGGCAGCCACGGUGUUGGUGGAUAUGGUGGCAGUGGGGAUGGCUAUGAUGGAUUUGGUAAUGAUGGAAGCAAUUUUGGAGGUGGUGGAAGCUACAAUGAUUUUGGCAGUUACAACAAUCAGUCUUCAAAUUUUGGACCCAUGAAAGGAGGAAACUUUGGAGGCAGAAGUUCUGGCCCCUGUGGUGGCGGAGGCCAAUACUUUGCCAAACCCCGAAACCAAGGUGGCUAUGGUGGUUCCAGCAGCAGCAGUAGCUAUGGCAGUGGCAGAAGGUUUUGAUUACUGCCAGGAAACAAAGCUUAGCAGGAGAGGAGAGCCAGAGAAGUGACAGGGAAGCUACAGGUUACAACAGAUUUGUGAACUCAGCCAAGCACAGUGGUGGCAGGGCCUA